GGGUAUAGCUCAGUGGAGGAGCACCUGCUUAGCCUGCACGAGGUCCUGGGUUCAAUCCCCAGUCCCG
rnacentral:tRNA from 1 species